GGCCGUGAUGAGCAUUGCUUACUUCUGACACCUCUUGUAUGAGAAGGGACUUGUCCCUUCCAUGAGCAGAUCAAGCAACCCUCUGAGCU
rnacentral:snoRNA from 1 species